rnacentral:misc_RNA from 1 species
GAUGAAGAACGCAGCGAAAUGCGAUAACUAAUGUGAAUUGCAGAAUUCCGUGAAUCAUCGAGUCUUUGAACGCACAUUGCGCCCCCUGGUAUUCCGGGGGACAUGCCUGUCCGAGCGUCAUUGCUGCCCAUCAAGCACGGCUUGUGUGUUGGGUCCUCGUCCCCCCCGGGGGACGUGCCCGAAAGGCAGCGGCGGCACCGCGUCCGGUCCUCGAGCGUAUGGGGCUUUGUCACCCGCUCUGCAGGCCCGGCCGGCGCUGGCCGACGCGAAAGCAACCAUUUUUUCUCCAGGUUGACCUCGGAUCAGGUAGGGAUACCCGCUGAACUUAAGCAUAUCAAUAAGCGGAGGA